rfam:Arabis alpina cultivar Pajares Aa.chr2_contig_3005, whole genome shotgun sequence.
GCUAGAUUUAGUGCCGCCUUGUAUGUUUCUAGUUUUUUCCUUUUUGUAUGUAAGGAAAUUACUGUUAUACUUUGGUGGCAGAAAUUU